UCUAUGGUUUCGGAACACACCCGCUAUGGGUGCAUACAUACGUGAUAUAUACACACACACGUCCAUACAUACAUGGCGUGCAUGGCUGAGGUCGCCUUAGGUAUUCGCGGCUUGGUAUGGCUUAGUACCCUUAGUACGUAUUGUACAUAUCUACCGGAACAGGGAUAUAAACAGGAAGAAGAGUAGCAGUUUCUUGUGCGAAUGAAGAUCCGAUUCAACCAUGGCCAUGAAUGGGAAUUUUUUCAAACUUUGUAACGUAAUGGGACCUUAUAGGAAUCUUUUGUCAUCAAGAUUCAUUUUGCCCAGCUAUCAGCCAGUAGCAACGUUGAAGCACUCUUUAGAAGAGCGACUAGGAUUAUCACCGAAACCAAAACGUCCAUUAUCUGUAUAUUUCACUUUCAUGCAACAACUGCGGCCUAUGUUGAGGCAAAAGUAUCCCGAUCUCAAAUCGCCGGAAAUAGUAGCAAUGAUUGCAAAAGAAUACAAAAAAAUGGAUCCUAGUCAAAAAUCAAAAUUGGAAGAAGAACGUAAAAACCUUUAUAAGGAAUACAGCAAAGCAAUGAUAAAUUACGAAAAUUCGAUCACAGAUGAACAGAAGGAACUGAUUAAAAAAGCUAAACGCGAUGAAGCAGAGAAAAAGCUCAAACGAAUGGAAAGAAAAUCACGAUCACAGCAAUUAAAAAGUUUGGGAAUCCCAACAAGACCACCAUCGGCCUAUAGUUUAUUUGCUCGUGCAGCAGCUGAAAAAAGAGGAUCUAUGAAGAUUAGGGACUGGCAGACAAAUAUGCUGCAAAAGUGGAAGGCUUUGUCUGAUGAAGAAAGGCAGGCAUAUGAAACUGAAGCAGCUAAAUCUAUGAAAGAGUUUAAGGAAAGUAUGAGAUUAUGGAAAGAGAGAAUGAAAGAGAGGGGUGAAGAUGAAUCAUUGUCACUUGCGAAGAAGCUCGGUUCAGGUAAAACAGGAUCGAAGCAUUGUUCAGAAUAGCAUGAUGCGUGUCUCACCCGAUCACACGACUUUGUCAGUAAGGUCAAUGGCAUGUAUUCUGGGCCAAAAUCGGAAAUAACACCCCAGGGCUGGGACACGAGCCUGCAUAAUAGUAUAGAGCAGAGUGAGAGCUUGGCGAAUGAUUCAUGUAUUGAAAAGAAAAAUGUAGUGAAGAAUUUUAACAGUGUAAGUAAUAGCACGCACGGCGAUGAAGCUACGAAAACAACAUUUUUAUCGUGCACACAAACUGACAUGGAACAGAAAACAUUGAUACAAAGUGACAAUUUCUCACAAAGUGCCACAACAAGUCAUAAAAAGUGCAUUGAUGUGGAAAUCACGGAAGAUGAAACUCAGAAGAAAACCAUACCGCAGCAGCAAACUUUAUUGGAAGAAUUAAAAACUGAUGGAAAAUCAGUUCAUCCUCAGGGAGGAAGUGAAAAUGAGCCUAGUACAAAUGAUAUUCAACUCAAACCUAUCGAUCCAGAUCAUACUUCACAUCAAAUAAAUGCCCGUCAUACGUUAGAAGCCCUUAAGUCUAAGCUCACCAGUUUGACGAACAAACUCACGACUCAUCAAUAUGGCUGACGGCGCUGAUGCCCCUUCCGUCUUUCGCUUCAGCCCCGCUGGGAGAGGCUCCGUCCAUAAGUCCAUGGCAGAAGAUAAUUUCAUAUGGGUCAAGCGAAGGCUCAGACACAAAAUAUCAGUAUAGGGAUACAUUAUACUGGGUGAAACUAAUAUUUCACUGCAAUCAUCUAAAGUGAUUCGUUUGGAAGGAUCAUUAUUAAUCAUGAUUAUCGUCAUAUUUCGUAAAGAUUGAAAUGUAGAUGUUCCUUAAGCAAAUAUUUGUAAUCCAGACAUUAAGAUUAAAUGAAAUGUAGCUGUGACCAAGAGGUCGAAAUACGUUUUUGAGCAUCACUUCCCAUUAAAAAGGAAAAAAAAACACUCCUUGUCCCUUUUCUAUUUUCUGGAAAUCAAUUCGCCUUGAUAGAAUCUUCGAAUACAGAG
rnacentral:misc_RNA from 1 species